AUCACAGACAAAAUACAGUAGAAUUGAGAAAGAGUUCAAGAAAGGGUGGACAGCAUUUGUAGCAACUCUGUGAGAGAUAUCUGAAUAUUCAAGGACUUCUCAAGCUGGCAAACAAGCUGGAAGUGCUACAGAAGUCUGCAAAACCAGUAUACUUCCAUGCAUGAGCUUUUGUUGGUAACAUAAGCUUGCUGUGCAGAAGUGAUUUGCCAAUAGCAUUUCUGGAAAGGAAAGGAAAUGAAACUGUUGAAGAACGACAAGUUUGACUGUGCCAGGUCAGCAUGUGUGUUUAUGGCUGUGAAAGUUGGCAGAGUUAACGAAAUCAAAUAAUGAAACAAAAAAAAUGAAUGAGAUUAUUGUCAUGGUAUCGGGAUGCUUAUAUGCUUUAUUUACUUGGAAAAAAAUAAAUAAAUAAAAGGAGAUUCAAAAGGGAAUGUAUUGUCUUCAGUUGGGAUGGAUUAACUUUUCUUCAUAGUAGCCCAUAUGGAGCUAAAUUUUGGAUUUGUAAUGAAAAUAGUGUAUAUGGCAUACUAAUUUUCUUACUAUUGUCAAGCAGUGCUUCAAAAGCCAAGGUAAUUUCUCCUUAUGCUACUCUGCUACUGAAUAGGUUGGGGUGCACAAGAAUUUGGAAGGAAACAUAGCCAGAGCAGAUAAUUGAAAUUGGUCAAAGGGUUAUGGAAUCAUAAAAUAGUUUGAGUUGAAAGGGGACUUUAAAGGUCAUCUAGUCCAACUCCCCUGCAAAGAACAGAGACAUCUUCAGGAAGAUCGUAAUGGUCAAAGCCCUGCCCAGACUGGCCUUGAAUGUUUCCAGGGAAAAGCAUAUUCCACAUGAUAUGCUCAGGAACAGAACUUUGAGGAGUUUCUCAAAGACAGUCAUCACUCAGUGACUGGCUGCCACUGGUCUGCUGCUGCUGAGUGAUUACUUUUGUAUCAUUUGCUUUUUGUUGUUGUUCUGUACUUUUUCUUUUCUUUGUUUUCUUCUUUUUUUCUUUUCCCUCACUUUCCUUGUUAAACUGUUUGUUUGUUUGUUUGUUUGUUUGUUUUUGUCAUGGUUUUAUGAUUUUUGGUUAUCGGUAUUCCACAUCAUAACAUCAUGCAGUGUACUGGGAGUUAAAGAGCAAAUGCUCUAGUUCUGGGUACUUGUCCGGAAGAGAAGAACUACAUACCCCAGAAGACUGUUCGAAUACUGUUAUCAUUCCUGCUCAGGGGAACAGAUAUAAGGCCUGUAAGUCACCUGACCUGAGUCAUUUUUUUCUUCUCAUCUCGUCGUGCUCGCUUUUGGAUCCUCUCGCUGCUGCUCCUGACUGCACUCAAGGCUUCAGUAUUAGUGUAAGGCCUUUAGCUCUUGGACAAUUCUUCUCUCAAUUAUAUUUUAUUUUAUUAACAAUUAUAUUGAAUUAUGUUGUAUUAUAGUGUGUUAUUGUGCAUUCCGAUACUAUAUUUAGUAAAUUAGUUUGUUUCUCCUCAGAUCGUUGCCACUGUUUUUUUUAAUUAUUUUUUUUUUUAGGGUUCUCUCCCUUUUCUAGAGGUGCGGAUUUUACAAAAAAUCCCUACGUCCUACUAGUCAUGGAACCGGGCUGGACCAGCCUGUAAACCAUCAACAGUUUUGUUUUGUUUUCCUUGACUAAGGAUUUUUUCCCAUACUUGCCCUUCCAAUUCCCUUCUUCAUCCUGCCAAGGUGAUACUCAAACAACUGCAUAGGGUCUUAUUUAUCAGCUGUAUCAACAAACUGCAGAGGGUAGCAGCCUCUGAAUCUAUAGACAUGAGGCCAACGAUAAAUUAUAUCUCCAGAACUUUAUACUCAAGGAUCACUGAUAAUGAAUUCCUCAAAUUCAUAAAGUAUCAUGAUUAUAGUACCUUCAUAGGCAUUUACGAUCCUUUUUACAGCCUUUAUAUAAAGGAUUUUAAGACAUAUCCUUGUGUUCUUGUUGUUAAGGUUUUUUUGUUUUGUUUUGUUUUGUUUUGUUUCCAAAGAAGUUAGCUACAAUAAGCUAGUGUACACACCAUAUUUUUUUUCAGUCACCAGUAAUGCCUUUGUGCUUUCUUAUUACACUGCAUGGUACUUUAAUGAUUGAAUAAGUGUCGUCCACUAGAUAUAGCUAAAAUGUCAGCAACACUGGUAAAGGUAAGGGAAAAGAAAGAACAUGCCAUACAAAGCCAUAUGCUGCAAUGCUUUGUAAAGACACUGCUGUCAGUCAGUACCCAUCAAUGUUGCUAGUGUAAAGCAUAACGUUCAUUAUGUAUUUAAUUAAUGUGAACUGAGAUAAAGUUCAGUUAUAUAGUGCAUUAAUCCACAUGAAAUACACAGAAAUUCAUGGAAUUUGUUGUGAGAAAGUGGAGAUCAUCUUGGUUGAGAUUACACGGCAUGUGCGUGGUGUCCAGGGGAUCAGAUCCAGUUAGCAUGGGUUUAUGAAAGGCAGGUCGUGCUUGACAAACCUCAUCUCCUCCUACGACUGGGUGACCAGACUGAUAGAUACGACCAGGCUGUCGAUGUAGUCUACCUAGACUUCAGCAAAUCCUUUGACAUGGUCUCUCACAGUAUUCUCCUGGGAAAACUGCCUGCCCAUGGCCUGGACAGAUGUACCCUUAUUUGGGUAACGAACUGACUAGAGGGCCGUGCCCAACAGGUAGUAGUUAAUGAAGUUAAGUCCAGUUGCUGACCAGUCACAAGUGCUGUCCUCCAGGGGUCGGUACUGGGGCCCAUCUUGUUUAAUAUCGUUAUCGAUGAUCUAGAUGAGGGGAUUGAGUGUACCCUCAGUAAGUUUGCAGAUGACACCAAGUUGGGAGGCAGCGUCAAUCUGCCUGGAGGUAGUGAGGCCCUUAGAGGGAUGUGGAUAGGAUGAAUUACUGGGCUGAAGUGAAUAGGAUGAGGCUCAACAUGGCCAAGUGCCAAGUCCUGUACUUUGACCACAAUAACUCCAUGCAGUGCCAUAGGCUUGCGGCUGAGUGGCUGGAUGACUGUGAAGAGAAAAGGGACCUGGAGGUGUUGGUUGAUGCUUGACUGAACAUGGGCCGACAGCGAGCCCAGGUGACCAGGAGGGCCAGUGCCAUCCUGGCCUGCAUUAGAAAUAGUGUGGCCAGCAGGAGCAGGGAAGUAAUCAUCCCCCUGUACUCAGCACUGGUGAGGCCACACCUUGAGUAUUGUGUUCAGUUUUGGGCCCCUAACUACAGGAAAGACAUGGAGGCCCUGGAACAUGUCCAGAGAAGGGCAAUGAAACUGGUGAAGGGUCUGGAGCAUAGGUCUUAUGAGGAGCAGCUGAGGGAGCUGGGAUUGUUCAGGCUGGAGGAGGCUCAGAGGAGACCUCAUUGCACUCUACAACUUCCUGAAGGGAGGUUGUGAUGAGGAAGGGUUUGGCCUCUUCUCUCAGGCAACAAACAGGACCCAAGGAAAUGGCCAGAAGUUGUACCAGAGGAGGCUUAGGUUAGACAUAAGGAAAACUUUUUCUCUCAGAGAGUAGUCAGGCACUGGAAUGGCCUGCCCAAGGAGGUAGUGGAGUCGCCAUCCCUGGUAGUGUUCAAGAGGUGUCUGGAUGAGGAGCUAUGAGAUAUGGUUUAGUGGCUUGUGGUAGCAAGAGUAAUGGAAGGACGGUUGGACUAGAUGAUCUUAUAGGUCCUUUCCAAACUUGUGAUUCUAUGAUUCUAAGAUGGAGAAAUGAAUGAAUGGGAAACAGUCCUUGUGCCUAGUAACUGACAGACUAACAGAUCAAAUCACAUGUGUUAAGCAUCCGAGUAAAAUAUUGUGAUGUCUAAGAAAAAAUAAUUGUAAAAUAUCUACAAAUGACUCAGUUGCAAUUUUUCUUCCUGUUACACGGUGAUUGGAAUAUGACUGGAGACAGGGACAACAAACAUCAAGGAAUAAAUCAGAUCAGCAUUUGCUGUUGUGCAGUUUUUAGAGAAACAAGACUUAAUGUAAUUGCUUUCAAAUGCAUAUGAUGUUUAAUUAAAAAGAUCACAAUAAGUGGUACAAAAGUGCAUUUAUUAGCCUAUUUAGGUAACUUGCUUAGAAUCAUAAUAUCAUGGAAUGGCUUAGUUUGGAAGGCAUUGUAAACAUAAUCUAGUUCAAACUCUCCUACUAUGGGCAGGGUUCUGAUCCACUAGAUCAUGCUGCCCAGGGCCCCUUCCAACCUGGUCUUGAACACCUCUAGGGAUGGAGCAUUCUUAACUUCUCUCAGGGUAGCCUACUGCAGUGCCUCAAAACCCUCUGGAUAAAAAAAUUUCUUCCCAACAUUUAAAUCUCCCCUCUUUAAUCUUCAAACCAUUUCCCCUUGGCCCAUCACUAGAUAUCUGUGUAAGAGACGGAAUUCCCUCCUCUUUAUAAGCUCCCUUCAAGUACUAGAAGGCUGCAAUUAGGUGUCCACUGAGUCUACUCUUCCCCAAGCUAAACAAGCCCAAUUCCAUCAACCUUUCUUCCUAGGAGAGGCUCUUCAGCCCUCUGAUCAUCUCUGUGGGCCUCCUAUGAACCCUCUCCAACAGCGCCGCAUCUUUCUUGUGCUGGAGGCUCCAGAUCUGGACACAGUAUCCCAGAUGGGGCCUCACAAGGGCUGAGUAGAGGGGGACCAUCAUCCCCUCUCCCUGCUGACCACACCUCUUUUGAUGCAGCCAAGAAUAGAGUUGGCCUUUUGGAUUGCAAGAGAACACUGUCAGCUCAUGUCAAUAUUUUUGUACACCAGAACCCUCAAGUCCUUCUCCACAGGACUGUUCUCAAUCAAUUAUUUCUUCUCCCAGUUGGUACUCAUUUCUAGGUUAUUCCAACAAAAUUAUGAAUCUGAUUUUAUCUUCUGUUCCUUUGUAUGCCUUUAUUAUACUUGACUGACUCUUUGAAAAUGAAUGCAUAUGAAAAGAAUAUCUAAAAGUUCAUUUUUAACUACAAGAAAUUAACAAAUUCUUUUUCCUGCCUUCAGCAUAUGCCUGUGUUUUAAUUUUUACAUAUGUAUGAAUAUAUGUGUCUAUAUUGUAUACCCAUUAAUAAAAUAGUAUCAGCAUUGCACCAAAUCCACUUUUUUUUAACAAAGAUUAUCUCAAAAAUCACCUUUUGGAUUGAAGCUUUCUGAAAAUAAUUGGCUCUUAAAUUUUGAAAUAUGAAGCAUAUUUAGACAAAUACAAUGUUUAUCAGAAAUAUUUAUGUAGGCCUAUUUCCCUCAUUUUGUAGCAGCACUGCUUUUAAAAUUAUUGAUGAACUAGUCAUAGGAAUCACUCUUUCAAGUUCUCUACCUCUUACAUGGGAAAAUGUUGCUAACCUUUUUGCUAGGAGGCUGUUUGUGGAUCUUAUUUCAAAACUUUUUACCCACCUUGUUGGCAGCAGCUCAGGUCCGCUGUUUGACAGUAAUGCCAACCUCUACAUCUCCAUGUUUGAUGCAACUAUUUCCACAUUCAGUGAUGGAAGUUAGACAGUCCUACUGUAGCUUAUACAGUUGCAGAGUGCUCCAUGGAUCAUAUGAAGGUCAAGAAGUAGUUUUAUAUACACAAAUAAAUACAUAUAUAUAAGUAUAUUGAUACAGUUAUAUGUAUGUACAUGUAUUUAUAUGCAAAUAUGUGUUUAUAUGUGUAUUUGUAUAUAUAAAC
ensembl:lncRNA